UUAACGUCUCUCUUCAUUCUUAAGUCUUCAAGAAGUUCUUGAAGAUGCUGAUGAAGAAGAAAAAUAGACAUCAACGAGGACAUUGACAUAUUCUGGGGAAAACUCCAAAAAUAUACAAAUGAAAUGGGUGUAUUUGAAUUCCAGAAAUUGUCACAGUUCGUACUGAAUAUAUUAUCCCAUCCGCACUCAAAUGCUGAAUGCGAAAAAGAGUCUCCAGUAAAAUAAACUUGGUUAAAACAAAAUCAAGAAAUAAGUUAAUAACUAAUACAAUCAAUGGUUGUUUAUUAACGUCUCAGUGUGUGAAAAAAGAUGGUAACUGCGUAGAUUUUACACCAACUCAGAAUAUUAUCGAAGUUGAUGAAGAUGAAUUUGUCAUACACGGUUGAAAUAUAAAUUUUUGAAAAGAGGACACAUGAAUGCAAAUCAUAUUUAUGUUACGAUGGAAUCAGAAGGUUUUACAGAAGCAAGUAGCAGUUCGGCCACCCCCAAACGUAGUGGUAGUAAGCUGAGCCCCUUAACCAACCAGAGAAUUGAAAGAAUGAAGGCUAAAAUCAAUUCUUUGAAGUGCAAAAUAUUUAGGCGUAAAGUUCCCCACUGUUU